ensembl:snRNA U2 U2 spliceosomal RNA
AUCGCUUCUCGGCCUUUUGGCUAAGAUCAAGUGUAGUAUCUGUUCUUAUCAGUUCCAGCCGGCGAGGAAAAAGGAAUUGGGGACCAUUC